GGUCAAGAACAGCUGUUCCGGGGGCUCAGAGAAGGGACAGAUGGCCACAGGCUGGACGAUCAGAGAAGACUUCCCAGAUAUUGAAAUCCAGAAACUAGACCAGAGAGGUUAUACGACAAACAAUGGAUAUUUAUUAGAUCCAUGCCCCUGCGGAGUCAUCAAUUUCUUUGUUGCUUUUCCAGCUCAUUGAGGGCGGGACCAGGCUCCUCAGCAAGGCUGAGAACAGAUUCCAGGACCCACAAAGCCAUCCUAGCGAAAAGCUGACAGCCCAGGCCCUCCCGAGGACCAGCUCUGGGCACAAUCUGCCCUGACACAGUGAGAAACGGUCCACCUGGACUAGACCUUGGGGUGAGAACAAGAGGAAGAAGCCUGCCGACCAGAGCAGACCCUGUUAGGGUCUUUGAGGGAAGGUAUUUCUCCUGCUCCAGAGGCUCACUGUGCUGAGUGCUAAGCUCUCGCUGUUCACAUCCUGUGACAAUUCUUCCUUUGGCACCUCUUCCAUAUCUACCUUUCCUCUCCUAUUGCCACCACCACCCUCGCCUGCCAGGACUCUGAACCAUUCUUCUUCC